GUAGGAACUCGAAAGAGGGACGACCUGUAUCCAGUCAGGAGUUUGCACAGGUGCUGCAUGGCUGUCGUCAGCUCGUGCCGUGAGGUGUUAGGUUAAGUCCUGCAACGAGCGCAACCCUCGUCGCUAGUUGUUUUCUCUAGCGAUACUGCCCGUAUAACGUGGAGGAAGGUGGGGAUGACGUCAAGUCAGCAUGGCCCUUACAUCCUGGGCUACACACACGCUACAAUGGGUGAUACAACAGGUUGCAAUAGAGUAAUCUGGAGCCAAUCCCUAAAAUCAUCCUCAGUACGGAUUGCAGGCUGCAACUGCCUGCAUGAAGUUGGAGUUGCUAGUAAACGCAGGUCAGCACACUGCGUUGAACUACGUUCUCGGGCCUU
rnacentral:rRNA from 1 species